rnacentral:rRNA from 1 species
UGAAUACGAGAUGCUACGGCGUCGAAGCAGUCUAUGUCAUACUUCCAAGAAAAGCUCGCACUGUCAUAAACAAAUAAUGCCUGUACCAUAACCGACACAGGUGGGUAGGUAGAGUAUACUAAGGGGCGCGAGAUAACUCUCUCUAAGGAACUCGGCAAAAUGACUCCGUAACUUCGGGAGAAGGAGUGCCUUAUUUAUAAGGUUGCAAUAACAAGAUCCAAGCAACUGUUUAUCAAAAACACAGGUCUCCGCUAAGUCGUAAGACGAUGUAUGGGGGCUGACGCCUGCCCAGUGCCAGAAGGUUAAAGAAGUUGGUUAGCAUUCGCGAAGCUGAUAACUGAAGCCCUGGUGAACGGCGGCCGUAACAAUAACGGUCCUAAGGUAGCGAAAUUCCUUGUCGGGUAAGUUCCGACCCGCACGAAAGGCGUAAUGAUUUGGAUACUGUCUCGGAGAGGGGCUCGGUGAAAUAGACUUGUCUGUGAAGAUGCGGACUACCUGCACCAGGACAGAAAGACCCUAUGAAGCUUUACUGUAACUUGAGAUUGAAAUUGGACUUUACUUGCGCAGUAUAGGUGGGAGGCGUUGAUAAUAUUCUUGCGGGAUUAUUUGAGCCAUCAGUGAGAUACCACUCUUGUAAUGUUAGAUUUCUAACUUUGUAUCAUUAUCUGGUCAAAGGACAGUUUCAGGCGGGCAGUUUGACUGGGGCGGUCGCCUCCUAAACGGUAACGGAGGCGCACAAAGGUUUCCUCUGAACGGGUAGAAAUCGUAUCUAGAGUGUAAAGGCAUAAGGAAGCUUGACUGUGAGACCUACAAGUCGAGCAGGGACGAAAGUCGGUCUUAGUGAUCUGACGGUGCUGAGUGGAAAGGCCGUCACUCAACGGAUAAAAGUUACUCUAGGAUAACAGGCUGAUCUCCCCCAAGAGUUCACAUCGACGGGGAGGUUUGGCACCUCGAUGUCGGCUCAUCGCAUCCUGGGGCGGUAGUACGUCCCAAGGGUUGGGCUGUUCGCCCAUGAAAGCGGUACGCGAGCUGGGUUCAGAACGUCGUGAGACAGUUCGGUCCAUAUCCGGUGUAGGCGUUAGAAUAUUGAGAGGAGCCUUCUUUAGUACGAGAGGACCGAGAAGGACAUACCUCUGGUGUACCAGUUAUCGUGCCAACGGUAAACGCUGGGUAGCUAUGUAUGGAGUGGAUAACCGCUGGAAGCAUCUAAGUGGGAAGCCCACCUCAAGAUAAGUAUUCUCAC